rnacentral:tRNA from 1 species
GUGGUGGCUCAGGGGUAGAGUGCUCGCCUAGCAUGCACGGGGCACUGGGUUCCAUCCUCAGCACCACG